UCCAGAACAGUGCUUGUGGAGGGCCU
rnacentral:piRNA from 1 species